CACCAGUCCCGGCUCUCUCCAUUCGUCUCCCUUGACCGCCGCCUCCGUCCCGUGCUUUUCCCCAACCUCCGUUCGCCGCGAUUCAGAGCCCAGGUGUCGAGCUCCUUCGAUACAAGUACGGAGCGAGAAGGCAAUGGACGACUUCUAUGUAUCAGACGAUGAGCUACACGUUCCGUUCUUACCUCUGCUCACUCCACGCUGUGUGACCAUAUGCCGGCAAUAUAUUUUGGAUCUGGCUCUAAAGAGGCUUGGGCUUGUUGUAGAAAGCAUCAAGAGCACAACCAAACAGCAGACAACGCCUUCUCCCAGCACAUAUGAACAACAGAUGACCCCUCCUCCGAAGUUAGACAUGUCAAGCAAGCAAGUUGGGAAACGUGCCAUGUGCAAUGUUCGCAAAGAUUUAUUUGGAAAACGCAAGCGCGACUGCGAAGAGUAAAAAGGGAUUAAGUUCGAUUGGAUCAAGCAGGGCAAUGCAGUAGCCGUUUGAUGCCGCGUCUAUCAUUAUAAUCAGUUAUGUAGCGUUCUUAAGUGUGGUUUGUAUCAGACACUUUGAAGUUACCGUGUGUAACAGUCGCUUGCUGUUUUGUAUAAUGGUUACAUGGACCAUCGCACUGGUCAUGUAGAUGGCAUGUUGCAUGUGUUUGCACAUGUCCUAUGUACAACUAAAGUCUACGAUGUAUACUUUUGCAGUUCUUCGACAAUGUAUUUGAGUUGUCUGCCUACGGUCGCCUAUCCACGCCUC